rnacentral:rRNA from 2 species
GGACUACUGGGGUAUCUAAUCCUGUUUGCUCCCCACGCUUUCGUGCCUCAGUGUCAGUAUCUGUCCAGGAAGUCGCCUUCGCCACUGAUGUUCCUUCCGAUAUCUACGCAUUUCACCGCUACACCGGAAAUUCCACUUCCCUCUACAGUACUCUAGCCAAACAGUAUCAGGCGCAGUCCCCAAGUUGAGCUCAGGAAUUUCACACCUAACUUAUUUAACCACCUACGCACCCUUUACGCCCAGUAAUUCCGAUUAACGCUCGCACCCUCUGUAUUACCGCGGCUGCUGGCAC